AUUGAACGCUGGCGGCAGGCCUAACACAUGCAAGUCGAGCGGAUGAAGGGAGCUUGCUCCUGGAUUCAGCGGCGGACGGGUGAGUAAUGCCUAGGAAUCUGCCUGGUAGUGGGGGAUAACGUCCGGAAACGGGCGCUAAUACCGCAUACGUCCUGAGGGAGAAAGUGGGGGAUCUUCGGACCUCACGCUAUCAGAUGAGCCUAGGUCGGAUUAGCUAGUUGGUGGGGUAAAGGCCUACCAAGGCGACGAUCCGUAACUGGUCUGAGAGGAUGAUCAGUCACACUGGAACUGAGACACGGUCCAGACUCCUACGGGAGGCAGCAGUGGGGAAUAUUGGGCAAUGGGCGAAAGCCUGAUCCAGCCAUGCCGCGUGUGUGAAGAAGGUCUUCGGAUUGUAAAGCACUUUAAGUUGGGAGGAAGGGCAGUAAGUGAAUACCCUGCUGUUUCGACGUUACCAACAGAAUAAGCACCGGCUAACUUCGUG
rnacentral:rRNA from 1 species